rnacentral:rRNA from 1 species
GACGAACGCUGGUUGCGUGCGUAACACAUGCAAGUCGAACGGAAAGGCCCUGCUUUUGUGGGGUGCUCGAGUGGCGAACGGGUGAGUAACACGUGAGUAACCUGCCCUUGACUUUGGGAUAACUUCAGGAAACUGGGGCUAAUACCGGAUAGGUGCUCCUGCUGCAUGGUGGGGGUUGGAAAGUUUCGGCGGUUGGGGAUGGACUCGCGGCUUAUCAGCUUGUUGGUGGGGUAGUGGCUUACCAAGGCUUUGACGGGUAGCCGGCCUGAGAGGGUGACCGGCCACAUUGGGACUGAGAUACGGCCCAGACUCCUACGGGAGGCAGCAGUGGGGAAUAUUGCACAAUGGGCGGAAGCCUGAUGCAGCAACGCCGCGUGCGGGAUGACGGCCUUCGGGUUGUAAACCGCUUUCGCCUGUGACGAAGCGUGAGUGACGGUAAUGGGUAAAGAAGCACCGGCUAACUACGUGCCAGCAGCCGCGGUGAUACGUAGGGUGCGAGCGUUGUCCGGAUUUAUUGGGCGUAAAGGGUUCGUAGGUGGUUGAUCGCGUCGGAAGUGUAAUCUUGGGGCUUAACCCUGAGCGUGCUUUCGAUACGGGUUGACUUGAGGAAGGUAGGGGAGAAUGGAAUUCCUGGUGGAGCGGUGGAAUGCGCAGAUAUCAGGAGGAACACCAGUGGCGAAGGCGGUUCUCUGGGCCUUUCCUGACGCUGAGGAGCGAAAGCGUGGGGAGCGAACAGGCUUAGAUACCCUGGUAGUCCACGCUGUAAACGGUGGGUACUAGGUGUGGGGUCCAUUCCACGGGUUCCGUGCCGUAGCUAACGCUUUAAGUACCCCGCCUGGGGAGUACGGCCGCAAGGCUAAAACUCAAAGGAAUUGACGGGGCCCCGCACAAGCGGCGGAGCAUGCGGAUUAAUUCGAUGCAACGCGUAGAACCUUACCUGGGUUUGACAUGGAUCGGGAGUGCUCAGAGAUGGGUGUGCCUCUUUUGGGGUCGGUUCACAGGUGGUGCAUGCCUGUCGUCAGCUCGUGUCGUGAGAUGUUGGGUUAAGUCCCGCAACGAGCGCAACCCUUGUUCACUGUUGCCAGCACGUUAUGGUGGGGACUCAGUGGAGACCGCCGGGGUCAACUCGGAGGAAGGUGGGGAUGACGUCAAGUCAUCAUGCCCCUUAUGUCCAGGGCUUCACGCAAGCUACAAUGGCUGGUACAGAGAGUGGCGAGCCUGUGAGGGUGAGCGAAUCUCGGAAAGCCGGUCUCAGUUCGGAUUGGGGUCUGCAACUCGACCUCAUGAAGUCGGAGUCGCUAGUAAUCGCAGAUCAGCAACGCUGCGGUGAAUACGUUCCCGGGGCU